rnacentral:tRNA from 1 species
UCUCUGGUGGUCUAGUGGUUAGGACUUGGUGCUUCAACCACUGCAGCCUGGGUUCAGUCCCUGGUCUGGGAG